UCCCAGUUCGGAUCGCAGGCUGCAACCCGCCUGCGUGAAGUUGGAAUCGCUAGUAAUCGCGGAUCAGCAUGCCGCGGUGAAUACGUUCCCGGGCCUUGUACACACCGCCCGUCACACCAUGAGAGUCGGGAACACCCGAAGUCCGUAGCCUGACCGCAAGGGGGCGCGGCCGAAGGUGGGUUCGAUAAUUGGGGUGAAGUCGUAACAAGGUAUC
rnacentral:rRNA from 1 species